UACAACGAACGCCGAAGUCGUCAUGCAUUGCUGUCCCAUACGCAUGCGCUCGAAACGAAACGAGGGCUUUCGCAGCUGCAUACUACGGUGGAGGCCGAGCAAAAUGGCAACCAGCUAAUGAGAUCCACUGUGCCGAAUCUUUUUGACUUGAAUUCGCUGUCUUUUUUAUGCUUAGGGUUGGGCAGUUGGCAGAUGCGGACGGUAGGUGUGGAUCCAUGCCACAUUCGACACGUUCUUCUUCCCCCUUUAUUUCUAGAAUGUGGAUCCAUGCAAAAAUUUAGGGAAAAGUUCACUUUACUCCCCCUCACCUAUUUACUUUAUCCACUUAACCUCCAAAGCAAAAUUUAGACUCACUUUACUCCCCAAACUAUCUCAUUUGGUUCAAUCUAUCUCCUAAUUAGAUUUCUCUUUUUUUUUUCUUCAUGUACAAAUUGAAUUUUAAUUUCAGAUUUUGUUUGCUUAUAACAUGAUGUUCUAUGGUAGAAAAAUAUAUUAGAAUUUUUCAUGAUUACUUUUCGUACAAUUUUGUAUAUCUAAGAACUAUACCUAACCUAUGAAAAAAUCUUAGUAUAAUUUUCUAGCAUAAGUCACCAUGUUUUGUAUAGCUCAUAAAAUUUGAACUCAAAAUUCAACUCAUCCACGAAGAAAUAAAAAAGAGAUAAUCUAAUUAGGAAGUAGAUUGGACCAAAUAAAAUAGUCUAGGGAAGUAAAGUGAGCUAAAACUUUGUUCAGGGAUUAAACAGACAAAGUGGGGGAGUAUAAAAUGGACUUUUCCUAAAAUAAAAAGGAAAGAAAGCAGAGCAGUUGCAUUUAAUUUUGUCCAUUAGUGUAUUUUAGCUUGUUUUCCCUAAAGAUUUGUGGUGAUGAAUUUGUUCUUCCUGAGCUCAACCUUGAAGAUUUUCCAAGCGAAAACAUUUCAGUGGAUUUUCUGCUUAUUAACUCCAUGCAAUGGCUACGCAUUAUCAGCCCAAGUAUUUACUGUAUGAACAAGGUGCGUAUAGUUUCAUCAGUAAAAGGAAGUGUGUAUAGAAUCUCUUAGCACAAUUGCCGAC
rnacentral:lncRNA from 1 species